rnacentral:rRNA from 1 species
GAUGAACGCUGACAGAAUGCUUAACACAUGCAAGUCAACUUGGACUUCGGUUUGGGUGGCGGACGGGUGAGUAACGCGUAAAGAACUUGCCUCACAGAUAGGGACAACAUUUGGAAACGAAUGCUAAUACCUGAUAUUAUGAUUUUAGGGCAUCCUAGAAUUAUGAAAGCUAUAUGCGCUGUGAGAGAGCUUUGCGUCCCAUUAGCUAGUUGGAGAGGUAACGGCUCACCAAGGCGAUAAUGGGUAGCCGGCCUGAGAGGGUGAUCGGCCACAAGGGGACUGAGACACGGCCCUUACUCCUACGGGAGGCAGCAGUGGGGAAUAUUGGACAAUGGACCAAGAGUCUGAUCCAGCAAUUCUGUGUGCACGAUGAAGUUUUUCGGAAUGUAAAGUGCUUUCAGUUGGGAAGAAAAAAAUGACGGUACCAACAGAAGAAGUGACGGCUAAAUACGUGCCAGCAGCCGCGGUAAUACGUAUGUCACAAGCGUUAUCCGGAUUUAUUGGGCGUAAAGCGCGUCUAGGUGGUUAUAUAAGUCUGAUGUGAAAAUGCAGGGCUCAACUCUGUAUUGCGUUGGAAACUGUGUAACUAGAGUACUGGAGAGGUAAGCGGAACUACAAGUGUAGAGGUGAAAUUCGUAGAUAUUUGUAGGAAUGCCGAUGGGGAAGCCAGCUUACUGGACAGAUACUGACGCUGAAGCGCGAAAGCGUGGGUAGCAAACAGG